GGGUUGUGAGGUUAAGCGACUAAGCGUACACGGUGGAUGCCCUGGCAGUCAGAGGCGAUGAAGGACGUGCUAAUCUGCGAUAAGCGUCGGUAAGGUGAUAUGAACCGUUAUAACCGGCGAUUUCCGAAUGGGGAAACCCAGUGUGAUUCGUCACACUAUCAUUAACUGAAUCCAUAGGUUAAUGAGGCGAACCGGGGGAACUGAAACAUCUAAGUACCCCGAGGAAAAGAAAUCAACCGAGAUUCCCCCAGUAGCGGCGAGCGAACGGGGAGCAGCCCAGAGCCUGAAUCAGUGUGUGUGUUAGUGGAAGCGUCUGGAAAGGCGCGCGAUACAGGGUGACAGUCCCGUACACAAAAAUGCACAUACUGUGAGCUCGAUGAGUAGGGCGGGACACGUGGUAUCCUGUCUGAAUAUGGGGGGACCAUCCUCCAAGGCUAAAUACUCCUGACUGACCGAUAGUGAACCAGUACCGUGAGGGAAAGGCGAAAAGAACCCCGGCGAGGGGAGUGAAAAAGAACCUGAAACCGUGUACGUACAAGCAGUGGGAGCACGCUUAGGCGUGUGACUGCGUACCUUUUGUAUAAUGGGUCAGCGACUUAUAUUCUGUAGCAAGGUUAACCGAAUAGGGGAGCCGAAGGGAAACCGAGUCUUAACUGGGCGUUAAGUUGCAGGGUAUAGACCCGAAACCCGGUGAUCUAGCCAUGGGCAGGUUGAAGGUUGGGUAACACUAACUGGAGGACCGAACCGACUAAUGUUGAAAAAUUAGCGGAUGACUUGUGGCUGGGGGUGAAAGGCCAAUCAAACCGGGAGAUAGCUGGUUCUCCCCGAAAGCUAUUUAGGUAGCGCCUCGUGAAUUCAUCUCCGGGGGUAGAGCACUGUUUCGGCAAGGGGGUCAUCCCGACUUACCAACCCGAUGCAAACUGCGAAUACCGGAGAAUGUUAUCACGGGAGACACACGGCGGGUGCUAACGUCCGUCGUGAAGAGGGAAACAACCCAGACCGCCAGCUAAGGUCCCAAAGUCAUGGUUAAGUGGGAAACGAUGUGGGAAGGCCCAGACAGCCAGGAUGUUGGCUUAGAAGCAGCCAUCAUUUAAAGAAAGCGUAAUAGCUCACUGGUCGAGUCGGCCUGCGCGGAAGAUGUAACGGGGCUAAACCAUGCACCGAAGCUGCGGCAGCGACACUGUGUGUUGUUGGGUAGGGGAGCGUUCUGUAAGCCUGCGAAGGUGUGCUGUGAGGCAUGCUGGAGGUAUCAGAAGUGCGAAUGCUGACAUAAGUAACGAUAAAGCGGGUGAAAAGCCCGCUCGCCGGAAGACCAAGGGUUCCUGUCCAACGUUAAUCGGGGCAGGGUGAGUCGACCCCUAAGGCGAGGCCGAAAGGCGUAGUCGAUGGGAAACAGGUUAAUAUUCCUGUACUUGGUGUUACUGCGAAGGGGGGACGGAGAAGGCUAUGUUGGCCGGGCGACGGUUGUCCCGGUUUAAGCGUGUAGGCUGGUUUUCCAGGCAAAUCCGGAAAAUCAAGGCUGAGGCGUGAUGACGAGGCACUACGGUGCUGAAGCAACAAAUGCCCUGCUUCCAGGAAAAGCCUCUAAGCAUCAGGUAACAUCAAAUCGUACCCCAAACCGACACAGGUGGUCAGGUAGAGAAUACCAAGGCGCUUGAGAGAACUCGGGUGAAGGAACUAGGCAAAAUGGUGCCGUAACUUCGGGAGAAGGCACGCUGAUAUGUAGGUGAAGUCCCUCGCGGAUGGAGCUGAAAUCAGUCGAAGAUACCAGCUGGCUGCAACUGUUUAUUAAAAACACAGCACUGUGCAAACACGAAAGUGGACGUAUACGGUGUGACGCCUGCCCGGUGCCGGAAGGUUAAUUGAUGGGGUCAGCGCAAGCGAAGCUCUUGAUCGAAGCCCCGGUAAACGGCGGCCGUAACUAUAACGGUCCUAAGGUAGCGAAAUUCCUUGUCGGGUAAGUUCCGACCUGCACGAAUGGCGUAAUGAUGGCCAGGCUGUCUCCACCCGAGACUCAGUGAAAUUGAACUCGCUGUGAAGAUGCAGUGUACCCGCGGCAAGACGGAAAGACCCCGUGAACCUUUACUAUAGCUUGACACUGAACAUUGAGCCUUGAUGUGUAGGAUAGGUGGGAGGCUUUGAAGUGUGGACGCCAGUCUGCAUGGAGCCGGCCUUGAAAUACCACCCUUUAAUGUUUGAUGUUCUAACGUUGACCCGUGAUCCGGGUUGCGGACAGUGUCUGGUGGGUAGUUUGACUGGGGCGGUCUCCUCCUAAAGAGUAACGGAGGAGCACGAAGGUUGGCUAAUCCUGGUCGGACAUCAGGAGGUUAGUGCAAUGGCAUAAGCCAGCUUGACUGCGAGCGUGACGGCGCGAGCAGGUGCGAAAGCAGGUCAUAGUGAUCCGGUGGUUCUGAAUGGAAGGGCCAUCGCUCAACGGAUAAAAGGUACUCCGGGGAUAACAGGCUGAUACCGCCCAAGAGUUCAUAUCGACGGCGGUGUUUGGCACCUCGAUGUCGGCUCAUCACAUCCUGGGGCUGAAGUAGGUCCCAAGGGUAUGGCUGUUCGCCAUUUAAAGUGGUACGCGAGCUGGGUUUAGAACGUCGUGAGACAGUUCGGUCCCUAUCUGCCGUGGGCGCUGGAGAACUGAGGGGGGCUGCUCCUAGUACGAGAGGACCGGAGUGGACGCAUCACUGGUGUUCGGGUUGUCAUGCCAAUGGCACUGCCCGGUAGCUAAAUGCGGAAGAGAUAAGUGCUGAAAGCAUCUAAGCACGAAACUUGCCCCGAGAUGAGUUCUCCCUGACUCCUUGAGAGUCCUGAAGGAACGUUGAAGACGACGACGUUGAUAGGCCGGGUGUGUAAGCGCAGCGAUGCGUUGAGCUAACCGGUACUAAUGAACCGUGAGGCUUAACCUUACAACGCCGAAGGUGUUU
rnacentral:rRNA from 1 species